ACACUGCCCAAUUCAAAAUAAAAAUAAAUGUCAUAUAAUUUGCAUACCAAUAAUAAAUAUGAAAUUGCAUACCCAUCAUAAAUGUGCAAUCAAUUACAUAUGCACCGCCAACUGCAUCUGCAUAAGGAGCCAUGUACCCUAACAAUAAAAUAUGAAAGUUUUCAGAGGGAAUAAAAAAAUAGGUAUGUUACCAGUUGCAAUGAGGCUCUCUCCUG
rnacentral:misc_RNA from 1 species